ensembl:lncRNA
CUCUGGUGUGAGCGUUCUGACCGACCGCUUGUAUACAAGUGAAAACCACAGCGUCUGUGUGUGUUUCUACUCUUAGACUCUCAGCUGAAGAAGUGUCUUUAGAAUAAAUCUCUUGACACUUCUUCUUUUUGUUUUUCACCCAGGAGCAGGCUCUUCUCCUGCCAUUUCAUCAACAGAUUUUUCCGGAACCCUGUCGUACCUUCACCCCUGGACCCCUAGACCCGUGAGCGUGAGUGAAGCUGUUCAGCGUGGAGUUUUGUGUGUGCAAGGAGUGAGAGGAGCCGCG